GUGGCUCUCCUCUGGACUCUCUCAAGCUUCUCCACAUCCUUCUUGAACUGGGGUGCCCUGAACUGGACACAGUACUCCGGCUGUGGCUGACCAGUGUGGCAUAGAGAGGGAGAAUUACCUCCCAUGACCUGUUUGUGAAGCACCUAUGGAUGCAUGACAAGGUGCAAUUGGCUCUGCUGACUACUUCAUCAC